UACGUAGGGUGCAGGCGUUAAUCGGAAUUACUGGGCGUAAAGCGUGCGCAGGCGGUUUGCUAAGACAGGUGUGAAAUCCCCGGGCUUAACCUGGGACUGCGUUUGAAACUACAAGGCUAGAGUGUGGCAGAGGGGGGUGGAAUUCCACGUGUAGCAGUGAAAUGCGUAGAUACUGGGAGGAACACCAGUGGCGAAGGCGGCUACCUGGACCGGUUCUGACGCUGAGGCGCGAAAAGCGUGGGUAGCAAACAGG
rnacentral:rRNA from 1 species